rnacentral:rRNA from 1 species
AUUGAACGCUGGCGGCAGGCCUAACACAUGCAAGUCGAGCGGAUGACGGGAGCUUGCUCCUGGAUUCAGCGGCGGACGGGUGAGUAAUGCCUAGGAAUCUGCCUGGUAGUGGGGGACAACGUUUCGAAAGGAACGCUAAUACCGCAUACGUCCUACGGGAGAAAGCAGGGGACCUUCGGGCCUUGCGCUAUCAGAUGAGCCUAGGUCGGAUUAGCUUGUUGGUGAGGUAAUGGCUCACCAAGGCGACGAUCCGUAACUGGUCUGAGAGGAUGAUCAGUCACACUGGAACAGAGACACGGUCCAGACUCCUACGGGAGGCAGCAGUGGGGAAUAUUGGACAAUGGGCGAAAGCCUGAUCCAGCCAUGCCGCGUGUGUGAAGAAGGUCUUCGGAUUGUAAAGCACUUUAAGUUGGGAGGAAGGGUUGUAGAUUAAUACUCUGCAAUUUUGACGUUACCGACAGAAUAAGCACCGGCUAACUCUGUGCCAGCCGCCGCGGUAAUAC